CCAGCACACUAGCAGGCCCUUUGGAAACGGACAGGCAUCAUCACUGUCUUUUCACAAUAAAGAAAGGUGAGGCGCCAGGGGAGUCAUUAACUGCCCCAGACACCCAGCCAGUUAGUGGGGAAGCCGCGGUCCACCCAGGAGCCUUCAGGUGACUGUGCCACUCUCCAGCCAGCCAUGGACCGAAACACGAAGAGAGAUGACGUCCACGGAGGGCUCGUCCUGUUUUCAUUACAGUUUCUGCCAAUCUAAAUAACUGACACUCCUGACUACUGAAGUGAAGGCAAAGAGGUUCUGUGUAUCACUGUGGUGCCACGCCUGGCUGUGUGGCAGGAUGGGAGGAUAGUGGCUGGGCCUAUAUCAGGGCCACGGGAGCCCACUGGCUGUUUGUAACUGCACAGAAAGUAUAGAGCUUGAAGCACAGUUCAUGAGGAGUCCUUACCAUCCUUACCACUAUCUCUCAGCUGGCUGCUUUCUUUCAACUGACCUCCCUUCCUUUCAGAUCAUCUCAGGCAGGCCCAUGCUCUUCCUGUGACUGCCCGAACUGGAGCGUGAUGCUGAAAAGAAACUUUGAAGAAGAACUUUUUACUUUCUACAAUGAGUCAGUGCUGCUGGUGAAAUUGCAUCAAACCGAAGAGCCACCCGUCAGGAGGAAGAUUGGAAAAAGAAUCUGCCCAGGCAUGGAGAAGACGAACAGACCCAGCAUCUGUCCAUUUCACAGGCAUCGACUGAGCACCAGUCCUGUUCCAAGCACCGUGGCAGGUGCUGGCCCCAUGGAGAUGGACGAGGUCCAUUUCCUAUGCCGGGAGACCUCGCAGGAUGUCAGGGAGGUGGGAGGUGACCCUGGAAUUAUAGGACCUCUGACAAGCAUGGGGGUGGUCUUCACAGCAGGCUGA
rnacentral:lncRNA from 13 species